rnacentral:tRNA from 2 species
GCGCCCGUAGCUCAGUUGGAUAGAGCAGCGGUUUCCUAAACCGCAGGUCGUGCGUUCGAAUCGCACCGGGCGCACCA